UGCUUUGCGUCCCUACACUUCCUCAAC
rnacentral:piRNA from 1 species